UACAGAGGUGGCAAGCGUUGUUCGGAAUUACUGGGCGUAAAGGGCGCGUAGGCGGCCUUCUAAGUCAGACGUGAAAUCCCCCGGCUUAACCUGGGAACUGCGUCUGAUACUGGAAGGCUUGAGUGCGGGAGAGGGAUGUGGAAUUCCAGGUGUAGCGGUGAAAUGCGUAGAUAUCUGGAGGAACACCGGUGGCGAAGGCGGCAUCCUGGACCGACGCUGACGCUGAGGCGCGAAAGCUAGGGUAGCAAACGGG
rnacentral:rRNA from 1 species